UUACAAGCUUAGUGAUGUAUGCAGGAUCAAACGAGGAGAAACGUGAUGACUCAAUGUCGACCAUUGUAGAUGAAUCUACUGUCUCACCGGAGUCUCUGUCGGAUGCCUGAAAGCUACUACUGCUUGGCAUGGUUGUCAGUAUGUUCAUGAUGAUUCAAGUAGACGACCUAAAUCAAAAAGUGGAAUAAGAUAGAAUAUCAGAAAUAUAGGCAGCCGGGUGGUUUAAGGGUGAUUAUAUAAAAAAGAGUCCAACGACAAUACUGUAAGAAAAAAUUUCUAUGGAUAAUCUGUCUAUUUUAUACAAGGAGAUUACUUGUCACGAAUCAUUUAAUAUCAGGCCUACCAGGAAUCUUACUCGCAUACAAAGCUACAUUUAAGUAAAUAAAUGCGACCUUUUAACAAGUUAAACUUUGUAGAGAAGAUGAAACAACAAAUACAAGGAACCUUCUUCUUCCACUUUCUUUUUGCUCG
rnacentral:lncRNA from 1 species